rnacentral:hammerhead_ribozyme from 1 species
AUCAAGAUGACGAGUCCCAAAUAGGACGAAAUGCACAUCCUGGCUGGAU